CCCCUCGAAACCCUAGUCCCGCUGGAAUAUACCACUGCCUCAAUGCCGGAGGCAACUAGACCAAUAGCCCCCAAAUUAACAGCCUGAAGCCAGUAGCCCACCCUCAACCUGAAUCCGUCGAUUGCUUAACUUGAAUCACCGUGGAGCUUCUCGAAUUUUCAGUUGAAGAUUCGAGCAGAACUCGAAACCAUCCCAAUCAGGCCCACAUUCAUACCACGGGACCCCCGGACCUCCCCCACCUCUAGAACACCCUGGGUUUUGCUCGAAUCUUACCAGAACCUCUCGAAUCCUAAAUUGAACCAGGGAGCCCUAACGAAGAUUGAACCAGAAUCAAUCCAAAUUGGUAGAAGUUUGGGGUUCAUAAUCUACCUUAAUCAGGUGUUCUCCGGCUAGGGCUUGCACUGACUCGAAUUAUUUGAUUGUUCGUAAUUGGUCAUAAACUACGUAGUCGAUUAAUUAAGUUUGGUCGAUUAUUGGCUUGAAGUUUGUUUGUGCCCUUCGAACUGGUUGGUACCAGUUUGCCUAUGCCUGAUUCAAAAUGUCCUGUUAAUUCUAUUCUGCUGCCUGAAUCCAUUAGCAAUUGAAUUCAUACUAGUUUCAGUUUGAAUUGCAAUUAAUCAAGCAUUUAGUUUGGACUAGUAUUGAAAUGAUGCCCCUGGUUUAUGCAUUUUUAGAUGAAUAAUGGCUUUGUUUAUUCAUUUAGAUUUAGGAAAUUUGAAAGCAUGUGAUUUGUAUCUCAUUAAUGAAUUAAGGUUAACUGGACAGCAUGUGCUGUCAGGGUAUAUUCCUGCUGCCCACAUUUGUUUAGUUUAACAAAAGAGAAAAACACUUUAAUAAUAAAAGGAGCGGAGUUGUCAAGGAAUAUUACUCCUUUUGAACUUUUGAAGGGGAAAAUUCAGAGAAGAACAUGGGUGCAUUCACUUCUUAAUUAGGGAUAAUGUUCCUACGAGCUGGAAAAAGAAAAAGAACAUGAGGGAGUAAUGAAUGAGGCAACUGUCUUUGUGCUUUUUAAGGGUGGGAAUGGGCUAUAAAUAGGAGGAUUAAACACUGAAUAAAGGGGGAUUUUUGAAUAUUAGAAUUUCAGAGCUUAGGGCUAGAUUCUGAAUACAUAAGUUCAGUAUUUUUUAGAGUUAAAAACAAAAAGAAAUUGGUUUCCCUUUACUAUUGAAUAUCAGUAUUUGGAUUGUUGUCAAUGUUUGAUUGAAUUUCAAAGCUUCGGUUUGUUUGUUUCUUAGAGUUUUCCAUAAGCAGAAAUAUAACUUCUCUAGCAUCUGCCUUACUUUUGCUAAGUUGUGAGUGUAUUGUGGGUGUCACUUGAUUUACAGUGUGAUAUUCUUGGGUUUUUUGUUGGUGUUUAGCUCCGGGAGUUACUGUUAUUUGGGGUGUUGCUGAGUUGCUGUUGGUUCUGAUAUAUUUGUCAUAUACUUGGGUUUUGUUGUUUGAACCUUCUGGAACUGCAUCUUGGUUUCCUUAAGUGUCCUGCUUGAUUUCAAAUCCUUCCUGGGUCAUCUGUUGUCACUGGUUCAUUGCUAUUGUUGCUGGAUUUUGUGAUGCUGCUGUUGCUGUGCUAUUGCUUGAUUCAACACUGAUCAUCCUCUCUUAUUUGUUUUCCAAAUACCAGGUACACAUUGCUAUACUGGGACACUUGUUGCUGAAACUUGAAGCAUAAAUGAAAUGAAGUUUUAAAGUUUUGAAUUGGUUUAGUUGCUGUUUGAUAUACUAAGUUGUAUAUGUUAGUUAGUAGUCUUCAUAAGAAACAUUUAAAGUGAUUUUUGUGUCUAACUGAGUUAAGUCUCUAACAGUUUAGAGGGUGAAUUCUCUCUCAUAUGCUAGUUUAAAGAACCCAUGAUGUAGUAG
rnacentral:lncRNA from 1 species